AUUGAACGCUGGCGGCAUGCCUUACACAUGCAAGUCGAACGGCAGCACGGGUGCUUGCACCUGGUGGCGAGUGGCGAACGGGUGAGUAAUACAUCGGAACAUGUCCUGUAGUGGGGGAUAGCCCGGCGAAAGCCGGAUUAAUACCGCAUACGAACUACGGAUGAAAGCGGGGGCCCUUCGGGCCUCGCGCUAUAGGGUUGGCCGAUGGCUGAUUAGCUAGUUGGUGGGGUAAAGGCCUACCAAGGCGACGAUCAGUAGCUGGUCUGAGAGGACGACCAGCCACACUGGGACUGAGACACGGCCCAGACUCCUACGGGAGGCAGCAGUGGGGAAUUUUGGACAAUGGGCGAAAGCCUGAUCCAGCAAUGCCGCGUGUGUGAAGAGGGCCUUCGGGUUGUAAAGCACUUUUGUCCGGAAAGAAAUCCUUGGCCCUAAUACGGUCGGGGGAUGACGGUACCGGAAGAAUAAGCACCGGCUAACUACGUG
rnacentral:rRNA from 1 species